GAAAUACCCCAGGGACACCUCAGUGGCCGGAGGCAGACUGCACCCAGAGCCCCCUUUAGAAAGCGCAUUUGGAAGAGCCUACAGAGCAGUAUUAUAAAAGGCCUAAGAAGUUUGUGUUGCUGCCUACCAACGGAAAAGAGGGAGCGCCUAGGCUGCAACAAAAUCCUGCCUGUGAGCUUAAAGGACCACGGAGGCAGCCAAGGUGACAGUGCUGUUGGAGGCACUGUGCUCCCCGUAAGCUGAAACCAGAGAGUGGAGAGCAGCAUGCUGAAGAUGCACGCGGCGCAGGAGAGCCAGGUAUACCUAUGAGUCAUUAGAAGAGACAGCAGCACUGGAAGCAGAGGAGGACUCCAGAGGUCUGCCCAGUUUGUAUGUGUUCAAGAUGAAUAUUGCUGACCAGGUUGGAGCCAAAAACAGAGGGACGAGUUUGCAUGGAGUGUCCAUCUUGUGCUCAUUUGGCAAGGUAGAGUGCGUGGGAACAGGAGCCAUGUGAAGCCAGCACAUGCCAUGUGCACAUUUUGCCCCAGGGCAUCCAUUCCUGUGCAAGGUAAGACCCACCAGCUGUGCUUUGAGUGGAAGCAAGGUGAAGUCUGGAGUGUUUGACAGUUGGAUUCAGAGAUGGAGCUGGUUCUAAGCGUGAUCGUGGAUAGAAUCUGUAGAUGGAAAAACAAUGGCAACCCCCAGCCUGACAGUGAGGGUGUUCCUCUGGGUGGCUCAUGGUCUCCUGCCAUAUUCCUACCUCCUAAGAUAACUCAGAGACACCUAAAGGGAUUUAAGGGUCAAAUUCACAACCCUCCUUAGGCCCACACUGUAGUAUACCCCAAAACCACACCUUAGUACACCCCAAGAUACUAUUUUCAGCAGUAUUUCAUACAAAGAUCCCAGCUGUUUUCUUCUGACAUCCUGUAGGGACAUUGCUGUUGCUGAGGCUUUGUGUCCCCAGGCAGCAGGCUGGGAAAGACCUUUGCUGCCUGUGUGACCCUAUACUGGGGCUAUCUGAGAGACUCCUGGGACCAUACUCAGCAAGAGACAUUUUCAACUGGAUGGUGCUUAGAGCAGGAGAUGCCACUCAAGCCCUAACACACUGGAUGGAAGGGGGACACACAGGUCUCCUUGAUGGAAGAGGCUUCUUCUGAUUGACAGAGAAUUUGGGCCAGAAACUUACAAGCAGAUGGACUAAGAGCAACAAGAGAAAAUGUCUACUGAUCCAGGUGAAGAUCAUCCAUUGAAGAUAUGCUCAGAGCUUGGCAUAAGAUUGUUCUGCAAAGGUGUUACCAAGAAAGACAGGCACCAGACAAAAAGAUAUAUGGCACAAAUAUCUGAAUAAAGAGACCGUUUUCUUGCUACAAUAAAUUCCUUUGUAUAUUUGAAGCA